CUUCAAUAAGAGCGGCGCUACAGUCUGAACACAGGCAUGUUUUAGUGAGAAACAUAUGCAAUCAACUUCCCGCUCAGUAAUGAGGUCAUUCACAAGAAAGGUUUUACUAGUGAUUGAUCUAACAUGUAAAAGUGCCAUAUUCAAUGAGUGUGGGCCACUCUGCCCCUGAGACAUCUGCCUAGAGGUAACCAAUUAAUUAACAACCACUCUGCCCCUGGGGCAUCUGCCUAGCGGUAACCAAUUAAUUAACAACCACUCUGCCCCUGGGGCAUCUGCCUAGCGGUAACCAAUUAAUUAACGACCACUCUGCCCCUGAGACAUCUGCCUAGAGGUAACCAAUUAAUUAACAACCACUCUGCCCCUGGGGCAUCUGCCUAGCGGUAACCAAUUAAUUAACGACCACUCUGCCCCUGAGACAUCUGCCUAGAGGUAACCAAUUAAUUAACAACCACUCUGCCCCUGGGGCAUCUGCCUAGCGGUAACCAAUUAAUUAACAACCACUCUGCCCCUGGGGCAUCUGCCUAGCGGUAACCAAUUAAUUAACGACCACUCUGCCCCUGAGACAUCUGCCUAGAGGUAACCAAUUAAUUAACAACCACUCUGCCCCUGGGGCAUCUGCCUAGCGGUAACCAAUUAAUUAACAACCACUCUGCCCCUGGGGCAUCUGCCUAGCGGUAACCAAUUAAUUAACGACCACUCUGCCCCUGGGGCAUCUGCCUAGCGGUAACCAAUUAAUUAACAACCACUCUGCCCCUGGGGCAUCUGCCUAGCGGUAACCAAUUAAUUAACGACCACUCAGCCCCUGAGACAUCUGCCUAGAGGUAACCAAUUAAUUAACAACCACUCUGCCCCUGGGGCAUCUGCCUAGCGGUAACCAAUUAAUUAACAACCACUCUGCCCCUGGGGCAUCUGCCUAGCGGUAACCAAUUAAUUAACGACCACUCUGCCCCUGAGACAUCUGCCUAGAGGUAACCAAUUAAUUAACAACCACUCUGCCCCUGGGGCAUCUGCCUAGCGGUAACCAAUUAAUUAACAACCACUCUGCCCCUGGGGCAUCUGCCUAGCGGUAACCAAUUAAUUAACAACCACUCUGCCCCUGAGACAUAUGCCUAGCGGUAACCAAUUAAUUAACGACCACUCUGCCCCUGAGACAUCUGCCUAGAGGUAAACAAUUAAUUAACAACCACUCUGCCCCUGGGGCAUCUGCCUAGCGGUAACCAAUUAAUUAACAACCACUCUGCCCCUGGGGCAUCUGCCUAGAGGUAACCAAUUAAUUAACAACCAUUCUGCCCCUGGGGUAUCUGCCUAGCGGUAACCAA